UACGAACUGUGCAAACGUUAUUCGGAUUCACUGGGCUUAAAGGGUGCGUAGGCGGCCAUGUAAGUAGGGUGUGAAAUCCCCCCGGCUUAACCGGGGAACUGCGCCCUAAACUGUGUGGCUGGAGUGAGAUAGGGGUGUGUGGAACUUCCGGUGGAGCGGUGAAAUGUGUUGAUAUCGGAAGGAACGCCGGUGGCGAAAGCGACACACUGGGUCUCAACUGACGCUGAGGCACGAAAGCCAGGGGAGCGAAUGGG
rnacentral:rRNA from 1 species